UGGGGAAUAUUGGACAAUGGGGGGAACCCUGAUCCAGCCAUGCCGCGUGUGUGAAGAAGGCCUUAUGGUUGUAAAGCACUUUAAGCGAGGAGGAGGGUACUGGUAUUAAUACUACCAGGUACUGGACGUUACUCGCAGAAUAAGCACCGGCUAACUCUGUGCCAGCAGCCGCGGUAAUACAGAGGGUGCGAGCGUUAAUCGGAUUUACUGGGCGUAAAGCGUGCGUAGGCGGCUAAUUGAGUCGGAUGUGAAAUCCCCGAGCUUAACUUGGGAAUUGCACUCGAUACUGGUUAGCUAGAGUGUGGGAGAGGAUGGUAGAAUUCCAGGUGUAGCGGUGAAAUGCGUAGAGAUCUGGAGGAAUACCGAUGGCGAAGGCAGCCAUCUGGCCUAACACUGACGCUGAGGUACGAAAGCAUGGGGAGCAAACAGG
rnacentral:rRNA from 1 species